rnacentral:misc_RNA from 1 species
GAUGAAGAACGUAGCGAAAUGCGAUAAGUAAUGUGAAUUGCAGAAUUCAGUGAAUCAUCGAAUCUUUGAACGCACAUUGCGCCCCCUGGCAUUCCGGGGGGCAUGCCUGUCCGAGCGUCAUUUCUGCCCUCCAGCCCGGCUGGGUGUUGGGCGCUGUCCCCCCGGGGACACGCCCCAAAGGCAGUGGCGGCGCCGCGUCGGGUCCUCGAGCGUAUGGGGCUUUGUCACCCGCUCGGGACGGACUCGUCGGCGCUGGUCUUCCUCCAGGCGACCCUUCGGGGCUCGUCUUCCUUCGGUUGACCUCGGAUCAGGUAGGGUUACCCGCUGAACUUAAGCAUAUCAAUAAGCGGAGA